AUUGAACGCUGGCGGCAGGCCUAACACAUGCAAGUCGAACGAGUAGCGGACGGGUGAGUAAUGUCUGGGAAACUGCCUGAUGGAGGGGGAUAACUACUGGAAACGGUAGCUAAUACCGCCUACCAUCGGAUGUGCCCAGAUUGGAUUAGCUAGUAGGUGGGGUAAAGGGUCACCUAGGCGACGAUCCCUAGCUGGUCUGCGAGGAUGACCAGCCAAACUGGAACGGAGACACGGGCGAGACUCCUACGGUAGGCAGCAGUGGGGAAUAUUGCAAAAUUGGCGAAAGCGUGAUGCAGUCAUGCCGCGUGUAUGAAGAAGGCCUGCGGGUUGUAAAGUACUUUCAGCGGGGAGGCGUUACCCGCAGAAGAAGCACCGGCUAACUCCGUGCCAGCAGCCGCGGUAAUAC
rnacentral:rRNA from 1 species